AGCCACUGUCUCCUGGAGACCCUCUUUCACCUUGGAGCCAAAAAUAUGGAAUGCAAUCCUAGUUCCCCAUCUCUGCCAUCAAGACCUCUCUGGCCUGGAUAUCCUGGAACCCCAACUUCAACCCACAAUUCACUGAGGAAGGAAAUCUCUGGAGUGUGGUGACUGCAGGAUGAAGCUUUCCUUCCAGAACUGAACACAGCAGAAAGUAAGUGAU